rnacentral:ncRNA from 1 species
AUCACGAUAAGGCAAACUUAUUGAAAGAUAAGGACGCAAAGUCAUGUGUCUAAGGAAUAAUUGUUCUAUGAUCGACAGACUGCCGAA